UUUUUUUUUUGGCUUCUAGUAUUUCAUUACAUUUGACAAAUUUCAGUUAUGCAAAAUUAGAAUUCGUUUAAUAUUGAUGCAUCUUUUUGUUGCUGAACCAUCUUGCAUAAAUCCAAUAUAUGCCAUUGUUGAAUUUUGGUCCUUCUUUGCAAGUCUAUAACCAACACUCUUUAGUUGAAAGUGAUCUGGGAUUCUUGGAUAUCUUGUUUUAAAGUGAGUUAACAUUGUAAACGCAGCUUCUUGAUGACAUUUGAACAUUAUUUUUUGUUUCCCGUUGAUUUUCUUAUAGGAACCAAUAUACUGGUGUUAAGUGUAAAUUUGAGGACAGGUCAAUAGGGUUUUCAAGUGUUUCAAGUUACUGGUUUGGGGUUUGUUGUAGUGUAGACAAUGGAACUGAUCACAUGAAAGGUACUGAUAAUUAUUUGUCAUUGCCUCGUGAGCUUUUGGUUAUACAGUCUGUAUUUGCAUCAUGUUAAUGCUCAUUUGAAGAAGGGCUGGCCUUAUGAGAAAUAUAAACCGUUUACUCAUCAUAAGAUCCUAAAGAUAAAAAGAUUGGUUUUCUUUUCUCUCAUUUAUGGCCUGCACGUACAUCCCGUUGGAUGUGUUUUUCCAACAAAAUUGAUGCCAAAUAGAUGACACUAUUGUUCAAGUAUUUGACAUAUAGAACUGAGACAUACGAAUGCAUAGAGGCUUACCUUAACCAGGUUGUUCAGCUAGUGGUAGGUCUAUCGUAUUUUUUUAUUUGAUGAUGUUUGGAAGCAAGAUAAAGAGUGGGUUAUUUGGAGACUAAGAUAAAUAUUUUGAGUUCAAGCAAUCAGUGUGCUAUAUAGUAACAGCAGUUGCUGAAAUGUCGCUUUGCUAACAGAAGACCUUUGGGCUAUUGGGAGUGGAAACAUGCACAAGAUAAUUAACACAUGGAAAUGUAAUUGAACAUGCCCUCCAUGGGAGUAAAUUAGAUGUGGGACGUACCCCUAUCUUUCUUUUCUGA